GUAGGAGGCAAGCGUUGUCCGGAAUUAUUGGGCGUAAAGCGCGCGCAGGCGGUUCUUUAAGUCUGAUGUGAAAGCCCACGGCUCAACCGUGGAGGGUCAUUGGAAACUGGAGAACUUGAGUACAGAAGAGGAAAGCGGAAUUCCACGUGUAGCGGUGAAAUGCGUAGAGAUGUGGAGGAACACCAGUGGCGAAGGCGGCUUUCUGGUCUGUAACUGACGCUGAGGCGCGAAAGCGUGGGGAGCAAACAGGGAUUAGAUACCCUGGUAGUCCACGCCGUAAACGAUGAGUGCUAAGUGUUAGGGGGUUUCCGCCCCCUUAGUGCUGCAGCUAACGCAUUAAGCACUCCGCCUGGGGAGUACGGCCGCAAGGCUG
rnacentral:rRNA from 1 species